rnacentral:tRNA from 1 species
GGAGGUAUAGCUCAGUGGUAGAGCAACCGAUUGCAGUUCGGUUGGUCCCUGGUUCAAAUCCGGGUGCCUCCU